rnacentral:rRNA from 1 species
GACGUAGGGUGCGAGCGUUAUUCGGAAUUACUGGGCGUAAAGCGUGCGCAGGCGGUUUUGUAAGUCCGAUGUGAAAUCCCCGGGCUUAACCUGGGAAUGGCAUUUGGGACUGCAAGGCUUGAGUGCGGUAGAGGAGACUGGAGUUCCUGGUGUAGCAGUGAAAUGCGUAGAUAUCAGGAGGAACACCGAUGGCGAAGGCAGGUCUCUGGGCUGACACUGACGCUCAUGCACGAAAGCGUGGGGAGCAAACAGG